UAGGGAAUAUUGCACAAUGGGCGAAAGCCUGAUGCAGCAACGCCGCGUGUGCGAUGAAGGCCUUCGGGUCGUAAAGCACUUUUCUGCGAGAUGAGAAAGGACAGUAUCGUAGGAAUAAGUCUCGGCUAACUACGUGCCAGCAGCCGCGGUAAAAACGUAGGAGGCGAGCGUUAUCCGGAUUCACUGGGCGUAAAGCGCGUGCAGGUGGCGCGGUAAGUUGGGUGUGAAAUCUCCCGGCUCAACUGGGAGAGGUCAUUCAAUACUACCGUGCUUGAGAGCAGAAGAGGAAGAUGGAAUUCCCGGUGUAGUGGUGAAAUGCGUAGAUAUCGGAGGAACACCAGUGGCGAAGGCGAUCUUCUGGUCUGUUUCUGACACUCAGACGCGACAGCUAGGGUAGUAAACGGGAUUAGAGACCCCGGUAAUCCUAGCCGUAAACGAUGUAAACUUGGCGUCGGUGGCUUAAACUCCAUCGGUGCCG
rnacentral:rRNA from 1 species